GAUUAAGUUAUUAAGGGCGCACGGUGGAUGCCUUGGCACUAGAGCNGAAAGACGGCNGUUACUAACGACGAUAUGCUUUGGGGAGCUGUAAGUAAGCUUUGAUCCAGAGAUUUCCGAAUGGGGAAACCCAGCAUGAGUUAUGUCAUGUUAUCGAUAUGUGAAUACAUAGCAUAUCAGAAGGCACACCCGGAGAACUGAAACAUCUUAGUACCCGGAGGAAGAGAAAGAAAAUUCGAUUCCCUUAGUAGCGGCGAGCGAAACGGGAAGAGCCCAAACCAACAAGCUUGCUUGUUGGGGUUGUAGGACACUCUAUACGGAGUUACAAAGGACGACAUUAGACGAAUCAUCUGGAAAGAUGAAUCAAAGAAGGUAAUAAUCCUGUAGUCGAAAAUGUUGUCUCUCUUGAGUGGAUCCUGAGUACGACGGAGCACGUGAAAUUCCGUCGGAAUCUGGGAGGACCAUCUCCUAAGGCUAAAUACUCUCUAGUGACCGAUAGUGAACCAGUACCGUGAGGGAAAGGUGAAAAGCACCCCGGAAGGGGAGUGAAAUAGAACCUGAAACCGUGUGCUUACAAGUAGUCAGAGCCCGUUAAUGGGUGAUGGCGUGCCUUUUGUAGAAUGAACCGGCGAGUUACGAUUUGAUGCAAGGUUAAGCAGUAAAUGUGGAGCCGUAGCGAAAGCGAGUCUGAAUAGGGCGUUUAGUAUUUGGUCGUAGACCCGAAACCAGGUGAUCUACCCUUGGUCAGGUUGAAGUUCAGGUAACACUGAAUGGAGGACCGAACCGACUUACGUUGAAAAGUGAGCGGAUGAACUGAGGGUAGCGGAGAAAUUCCAAUCGAACCUGGAGAUAGCUGGUUCUCUCCGAAAUAGCUUUAGGGCUAGCCUCAAGUGAUGAUUAUUGGAGGUAGAGCACUGUUUGGACGAGGGGCCCCUCUCGGGUUACCGAAUUCAGACAAACUCCGAAUGCCAAUUAAUUUAACUUGGGAGUCAGAACAUGGGUGAUAAGGUCCGUGUUCGAAAGGGAAACAGCCCAGACCACCAGCUAAGGUCCCAAAAUAUAUGUUAAGUGGAAAAGGAUGUGGCGUUGCCCAGACAACUAGGAUGUUGGCUUAGAAGCAGCCAUCAUUUAAAGAGUGCGUAAUAGCUCACUAGUCGAGUGACACUGCGCCGAAAAUGUACCGGGGCUAAACAUAUUACCGAAGCUGUGGAUUGUCCUUUGGACAAUGGUAGGAGAGCGUUCUAAGGGCGUUGAAGCAUGAUCGUAAGGACAUGUGGAGCGCUUAGAAGUGAGAAUGCCGGUGUGAGUAGCGAAAGACGGGUGAGAAUCCCGUCCACCGAUUGACUAAGGUUUCCAGAGGAAGGCUCGUCCGCUCUGGGUUAGUCGGGUCCUAAGCUGAGGCCGACAGGCGUAGGCGAUGGAUAACAGGUUGAUAUUCCUGUACCACCUAUAAUCGUUUUAAUCGAUGGGGGGACGCAGUAGGAUAGGCGAAGCGUGCGAUUGGAUUGCACGUCUAAGCAGUAAGGCUGAGUAUUAGGCAAAUCCGGUACUCGUUAAGGCUGAGCUGUGAUGGGGAGAAGACAUUGAGUCUUCGAGUCGUUGAUUUCACACUGCCGAGAAAAGCCUCUAGAUAGAAAAUAGGUGCCCGUACCGCAAACCGACACAGGUAGUCAAGAUGAGAAUUCUAAGGUGAGCGAGCGAACUCUCGUUAAGGAACUCGGCAAAAUGACCCCGUAACUUCGGGAGAAGGGGUGCUCUUUAGGGUUAACGCCCAGAAGAGCCGCAGUGAAUAGGCCCAAGCGACUGUUUAUCAAAAACACAGGUCUCUGCUAAACCGUAAGGUGAUGUAUAGGGGCUGACGCCUGCCCGGUGCUGGAAGGUUAAGAGGAGUGGUUAGCUUCUGCGAAGCUACGAAUCGAAGCCCCAGUAAACGGCGGCCGUAACUAUAACGGUCCUAAGGUAGCGAAAUUCCUUGUCGGGUAAGUUCCGACCCGCACGAAAGGCGUAACGAUUUGGGCACUGUCUCAACGAGAGACUCGGUGAAAUCAUAGUACCUGUGAAGAUGCAGGUUACCCGCGACAGGACGGAAAGACCCCGUGGAGCUUUACUGUAGCCUGAUAUUGAAAUUCGGCACAGCUUGUACAGGAUAGGUAGGAGCCUUUGAAACGUGAGCGCUAGCUUACGUGGAGGCGCUGGUGGGAUACUACCCUAGCUGUGUUGGCUUUCUAACCCGCACCACUUAUCGUGGUGGGAGACAGUGUNNANGGGGGAGUNUGANUGGGGNGGUCGCCUCCUAAAAGGUAACGGAGGCGCUCAAAGGUUCCCUCAGAAUGGUUGGAAAUCAUUCAUAGAGUGUAAAGGCAUAAGGGAGCUUGACUGCGAGACCUACAAGUCGAGCAGGGUCGAAAGACGGACUUAGUGAUCCGGUGGUUCCGCAUGGAAGGGCCAUCGCUCAACGGAUAAAAGCUACCCCGGGGAUAACAGGCUUAUCUCCCCCAAGAGUUCACAUCGACGGGGAGGUUUGGCACCUCGAUGUCGGCUCAUCGCAUCCUGGGGCUGUAGUCGGUCCCAAGGGUUGGGCUGUUCGCCCAUUAAAGCGGUACGCGAGCUGGGUUCAGAACGUCGUGAGACAGUUCGGUCCCUAUCCGUCGUGGGCGUAGGAAAUUUGAGAGGAGCUGUCCUUAGUACGAGAGGACCGGGAUGGACAUACCUCUGGUGUACCAGUUGUCGUGCCAACGGCAUAGCUGGGUAGCUAUGUGUGGACGGGAUAAGUGCUGAAAGCAUCUAAGCAUGAAGCCCCCCUCAAGAUGAGAUUUCCCAACUUCGGUUAUAAGAUCCCUCAAAGAUGAUGAGGUUAAUAGGUUCGAGGUGGAAGCAUGGUGACAUGUGGAGCUGACGAAUACUAAUCGAUCGAAGACUUAAUCAA
rnacentral:rRNA from 1 species